UACGUAGGGGGCAAGCGUUGUCCGGAUUUAUUGGGCGUAAAGAGCGUGUAGGCGGUCAGGUAGGUCCGUUGUGAAAACUCGAGGCUCAACCUCGAGACGCCGAUGGAAACCAUCUGACUAGAGUCCGGAAGAGGAGAGUGGAAUUCCUGGUGUAGCGGUGAAAUGCGCAGAUAUCAGGAAGAACACCCGUAGCUAAGGCGGCUCUCUAGUACGGUACUGACGCUGAGACGCGAAAGCGUGGGGGAGCGAACAGG
rnacentral:rRNA from 1 species